GGAGGCGUGCCAGAGCGGUUUAAUGGAUCAGUCUUGAAAACUGACGACGGGGUAACUCGUCCGUGGGUUCGAAUCCCACCGCCUCCUCCA
rnacentral:tRNA from 1 species